GACGAACCGUGCGAACGUUAUUCGGAAUCACUGGGCUUAAAGCGCGUGUAGGCGGGCCGCCGCCGUCGGCUGCUGAAAAUCCCCCCGGCUCAACCGGGGAACGGGCACCGAUACGGGCGGCCUCGAGGGGGGUAGGGGGGUCUGGGAACUUCCGGUGGAGCGGUGAAAUGCGUUGAGAUCGGGAGGAACACCAAUGGCGAAGGCAGCUUGCUGGGACGGUACUGACGCUGGAGGCGCGAAAGCGUGGGGAGCAAA
rnacentral:rRNA from 1 species